AAUGACACAAUUCUACUGAGCAGGGCUGUCAGUGCCCUUCCCUCCGAUGCACAUACAAGGCUUUGAGAGCAGACGGCAUUGCCUUCUUGUAACCAUUAGAAGACAGCAGCACCAUGAUGCCAGGUCCUCUCCGCACUCUUGAGUCAGCCGAGACUGGAUCAUGUUCCGGCGUACACGGUAAUUUUUGGAAAAAAUUUCAAGCAAAACCUGUCGAUGCUUUAGUAGCAAAAACAUGUUAUUAUGGGAAACAAUCGCGUAAAAGAGAAACAGCCCCAAAUAAGAAAUCCCAAACUAUGGACCGAACUCCACACUGCCGUCUGUGAUCAAAGUCCCUACCCAGGACUUCUCAUUAAAGACAAACACAUUUGGCUAAUUUGUCAUCUUUUGAGACCCCAAUAAAAUGAAGACUAGAAAUAAAGGUAUGUGCCCACAAGAACAAAAAUGCCAGUGAAGCAUCAGCACAGGAUGAACAGUUUAGACAUAAUUUUGGAUGAUAAAAAACAGGAGUGAUAACUGAUUUCGCAGGCGGGGGGAAAGCCACAAUCUACACUGCGUGAAGACAGAGACCAGGACGAAGAGUGAGCGGCUGUCCUGACACGCAAACAGGAUAUUAUGAAACAGAAUGCUACGAAAAGCAGGACGUCCCACCAAAAUUAAACAGAACAAAGUAAAAAUCCCCCAGUAGUAUAAAAGGUAUCAAAUGACAAAGAAAAGCUCUGAUUUAUAACAUAUGACCUAAGAAUUCUGAAAGAACAGUAAAGGAAUUCUCAAAUCUAUCAGAAUUUCCUAAGAAUGACUCAACCGUUUAGUACAGGGAUGUCCCACACCAGAGUACGUCUGGAAUUGCACUGAUGUGUUAUAUUCUGGGUAAGAAAAAACCUAAGUUUGGUUUAAAGGGGAGGACGUGGACCAAACUGAAAAGACCAAGAAGCAGAAAGUCACUGAGUGACAACUAAGCUUGAAUGUAACAGAAAACUAUCUUAAAUCCACAGGAAAAAAUGAUCUGCCCUCUAAAAUUCUAGCCCCAGGCAAACAAUGAUACUUAAGGACAAAAGAAAGCCAUUUUAAGACAUGGAAGAAUGCAGACAACUCCUCUGCCCUCUUAGAAGCUAAAAUUAAGCAAAAGGUUAGACACGAGAUUCUACGAGCCAGCAACAGACACAAAGCCGGCCCCGCCGGAGAGGCGGUGGGAGGCGUCCAGGGAGUCAGACACAAGAACGGUACUACGGCUGGUAUCCAGGUGUUCAGAAAAUCAUACAAGGGAAAACAGGAAGUAGUAUAAAAAAAAAAUGAAAUCACAGUUUACUACUGAUAUUUGGCCCUACAACGAAUAAAUUUCCAGUCAUGAUGCUAGAAGCAUUAAUAUCUGAUUUAACUAAAAAAUUCUCAUAAAGGCUGAGAACUAAAUCCUCAUCCAUGGCAACAGGAAGCCCACUGACAACAUCAAGCUGAUACAUCAAACAGCAGUAUAAGCUCAGUUUGUAUAUACAUUAAAAAAAAAAUGGAGGUAACCCUUUGGGUGCUAUCUUGUAGUUAAAAAGCAGUUUGCCUCUGAGGAGUGGGAACCAGGUCAGGCAGGGCAGGACACGGCUUCCCACAAUUUAUUUUUAAGAAUAUGCACUGCACUACUUAUUCCUUUCAAUUAUUGGAGCACGUUAGGAGCAGGAAACCCAGAUGCCACCUAUUCUGGCCAAUAGUGCACAGGCUCGUGAGGGAGACCUGCUCCAGCCUGCUCUCCAUCCCUGGCACCGCCACAGGUCCAGGGGCAGCAGAGGCCCCGUCCCUUUGAUGUUCCCAGGCUGCCGGUCAGUCCACUUCUAAGAGGCAAAAGGGAACAAAGAACUCAGUGGGGGCUUUUGCCCACUCCUCUUCUUGCACCAGAAGAACAGGAUCUGGAAAAGGACAGACCAGCUGGAGUCUUAGCAAUUAAAUCUUAAUCUAAAUUUAAA